GUAGGAAUGAAUCUGGGGUGAUUACGGUUACCGGAAAAGCAUCGUCUGGUGUCCGUAGGAAUGAAUUUCUCACAGAAUUUAUGUUUGAAUAGUACUCGCAAUGGGGAAUGAUGUGUUGUGAAUAACUUCGGGUGAAGUGGAAGGACAUGAAAUCGAUGAGAAGGCAAACCAUCCGAGAGACGACCAGUGUAUCAAUCCAUCGACUGAAAAAGUAUGGCCAUAUGUAGAGGUGAUGGGGUAGCCAAGACUAAGGUAACCAUUGAUAUUGAUUCACAAGUUGAUGGCAAAGUUCUUAAUUUUUAUUUUUGUUAAGAAUUUGAAUACAACCCAUACUCAAAUGUGAAAAAUAUGAACAUCUGGGCUAAAUAAAAUACUCAUUUAAUAAAAAUAAUAGGAUUUGAGCCAAUUAAAAGCUCAGAUUAACUAAGUGGACGAAUGUGGGAUAUUAUUUAUUAGUUAAACAUUUAUUUUGAUUUAACAUUUAGAUUGUCAAGGGCCUUACAUUUUAUAU